ensembl:lncRNA
UAAAAAAAUAAAAUAAAAUGCAUGUUUUUGUUGUUAUGUUCACAAAAGGAUCCCUUCAGGGCCUGUGAGGGUUACGGAAGAAUACCCAAAACAGAGAUUACAGCAACAGGAUGUUUAUUGACAACAACUUAGGAACAGUGAGCAAUAAGGUGAGUAAACUGAGCAAUGAUAUUAAUGUGGAGCUGAUGAGGAAUCUAAUCGCAGUCUUAUCUUACAGGGCCAGGAGAUCGUGGAAAGGCAGAGGGAGGAAUGAAGCUCACACGCACGCCGACGCUUGCUUGUAGGUGAUGGAGGCACAGAAACGAUGGAGGACAAGGAUGAGGAGAACAUGCUGGAGAAUCACAGGAGUCCCCUGAUAGAGUGAACAAAGUUCUCUGCCUUGGCUUGAAGACAGAGACCUUCAUCCUGAGAUAAGGCCAUCAACGCAAACAGUCCCAGAGGCAGCGCUGACUUGUCCCAUCACUGUGCUGCUUGAAACAUCCCGACUUCAUGGUGGAGAAACUACAGGGGGCAGCCAAGCAUCUGGUUAAGAGUUAGAAGAACUGGCAUCGGUGACAGCUUAUCGGGCUGUGACAUCUGAACCAUGCUCAGCGCAAAAUUGUCGAAUGCCAGGGAUGACAUUAUCUGGGUUUCUGCAUGCUUUCCCUUUGCCUGGAGCAUCUGAUGACAUUGUCAGCACAGGUGACCAAUCAGCAGCAUGGGGACCAAGGAAGAAGAAGAUAUCAGACAGCAUUAUCAGCAUUAGGAUGGCUUAAUUCUUUAACUAAGCAGCAACAUAAAUGUCAGAGCAAAAUAAAUAAACAUUAGGUAAAUCUGUUUCAUUUUUAGAUAUUAAAAAAACAUUAUUCAUAAAACAGAAUUGCCUCUGAGCUUCACUGAAUUCUCAAAUACACAGAUUAUGAAAGUUUUAUUACAUUCAGAAUGAAAACCAUGCUUUUGGAUUAAUGUAAUACAAACGAAAAUUUCUUUAAGUCACUCAGUUUUUUUCUUAUAUGACGAUUCAUCAGUAUAAUAGAACUGCAGAGAGAGUAUGUAAUUUAAAUUUAAAUUCAGAUCAAAACUAUCACAAUUAGUUUGACCAUAACUCAACCGUUUUAUUCCUGCCACUUUGUCGCUUUAUUCCAAAAAAGCACUGAAAACUAGACACAGUCUGACACUUCAGAUUUUCAUUUAGAUAAUAGCAUCCCAUCUGGUUGCCGCCACGCCUUCUGUUACUUUCAGUCCUCCCAUCCAACCUCCUUAUCAAUUACAAAGCCACUUUUAAGUCCAAGUUAAUAGGAUGUUAAUGCAUUAUUGGGUCUGUGGCGAUGUGCUAUUGAAGGAAGGGGUGGACAUUAUUGCCCUUGAGCACAAUCUGGGACCAAGACAAGAUCACAUCUUAAUAUAAGCAGAUGAGAGGAGAUUGUUUAAAAGUAGUAGUAUGCACUUUUAUUGUGUGGGGCUGUAUUAUUGUUAUUGAUAAAUUAAGACAUUACCCAUAUAAAAUAUAUUUUGUUUAUUUGAGUGUGGAAAGCAAAACAUAUUACAUCAUAUAUUUAUGUAAUAUGUCAUCUGUUGUUUGCAGUGAUGUCACUACCUUGUUCAUGUUGUAUGAGGCAAAUACCAUGUCCUUAUCUAGGGGGCAAAAUCUCUUCAUCUGCAUGCUGUAAAUUGAAGUAGAUGGAAGACAGGAUUACUUCUUGUGAUAACACAACUCAGUACAAGUGAUAAUUGUAACUUUAAUGCAUAGACAAGUAAUGCUGAGUUCAUUUUCUUUUGUACAGCUUGUACAAGUUAAGUAUUUGUUGGGUAGAUUUUUUAAGUUUUGUAAAUUAGCAAAAUAUGAACAAAACAGCAGUGUUCAUAUAACAUGUCAAC